GGCGAGCAAGCAUUCUGGACCCUUUUUUUCGUCAUCGGUGCGCCACUAAUGGCUUCAGUCGAUUACUGCAAUUUCUAUAGCCCAACUGCGGGAUUCAUCAUCGGAACCAUAUUGGGUUUUGUUGCGUUGUUUGCUUUCGGGAUUGGCGCUUUCUUGGCGCUGAUGUCAUGGAAAUCGACAGGGUUCGGCCUCCGUGGAUAGCGCGGAGGACAAGCUAUAUAGCAGCGGUCAUUGUCUGUAGCUCUUCGCGUGCUUCUGGGAUUGCUGGCACUGGUUUUACUUUAGCUCAUAACAAAAUGGUUAGCCAUCCAGGACACAUCAUCGAUAUGGACGAACGAAUGAAGAGUCGUCACGGAUUUAUGUUGUGCAAUUACUUGAUUCACAAUUAAUGAUAGUGUAAUUCCCUUCCCCUAAUAAACAGAUUUUAAUUAAAAAUAAUCUACUAACACUAGUACGCCAAUAUGUCGCGAUCGCAUUAAGAACGUUUAGCCUAAUUGUAAACAAUAUAUUAAUAAAGACACUGCAAAAAUCGUGCGCGACUUUUAGCCAAACUAAAUGCGGAACAAACAUUGGUGAGAAAUAGACCCAUUGGGUAUUGCUGCAAAGACACAUCUUCCGGCCAAUUUUCUUCAGAUUAGCACUGCUAGAGGCCUAUAGGUUUUUAUGCGGUGUUGUUCUCAUAGAGCAGAAUAACUACGCAAACCACGCACAUCUGAAUAAAUUAUACGGCCAGAUAAUUGUAAUUGACAUUGUAAGUGACGUUAUUGUUUAUGUCCUGACUUCGCGUCUAUGUGAAGCCUAUCGUAGCUCGAUGUAACGUCUAAUAGUUUCUCGUAGAAUCAUGCACUGCAUGCUCGUCACAUUGUUUAUGCAGUUUAAAUGCAUUUUUACGAAACUAUCAGAUGAAAUGUCAGUAGCUUUUCGGUUAAUUUUUCGUAGUCGUAUAUAUCGAUACGUUGCUUUGUAUAGGCAUGCAAUUGGUGAUUUCAGUACAAUUCGUAACAAACUAUUGUAUAUGAAACUACUAGCAUGAGGUUAUCUAUAGUGUCCUCGGUAGCCAUAGAUAAUCGUGAAACGUGUAACUUGUCGUAUAGUAACCUGUUGAUGUGUUAAAAAUUCAUUUUCAUACAUACACGCGUUAGACACAUGUUAGUAAAAACGGAUAUAGCCGUUAACAUGCCGUAUUAAAAGGAAUUAGAUUGUAUAAAUGUUAAAUAAAUGAUGAAUGAACAACAAA